UCCGUAGGGUGCAAGCGUUGUCCGGAAUCAUUGGGCGUAAAGAGCGUGUAGGCGGCCUGGUAAGUCCGCUGUGAAAGUCCAGGGCUCAACCCUGGAAUGCCGGUGGAAACUGUCAGGCUCGAGUCCGGAAGAGGCGAGUGGAACUCCUGGUGUAGCGGUGAAAUGCGCAGAUAUCAGGAGGAACACCAAUGGCGAAGGCAGCUCGCUGGGACGGUACUGACGCUGAGACGCGAAAGCGUGGGGAGCAAACAGG
rnacentral:rRNA from 1 species